UACGGAGGGUGCAAGCGUUGUUCGGAAUUAUUGGGCGUAAAGCGCGCGCAGGCGGCUGCGCAAGUCUGAUGUGAAAGCCCCGGGCUCAACCU
rnacentral:rRNA from 1 species